rnacentral:rRNA from 1 species
AUUGAACGCUGGCGGCAGGCCUAACACAUGCAAGUCGAGCGGAGCGGCGGACGGGUGUGUAAUGCCUAGGAAUCUGCCUGGUAGUCGGGGAUAACGUCCGGAAACGGGCGCUAAUACCGCAUGCUAUCAGAUCAGCCUAGGUCGGAUUAGCUAGUUGGUGGGGUAAAGGCCUACCAAGGAGACGAUCCGUAACUGGACUGAGCGGAUGAUCAGUCACACUGGAACUGAGACACGGUCCAGACUCCUACGGGAGGCAGCAUUGGGGAAUAUUGGACAAUGGGCGAAAGCCUGAUCCAGCCAUGCCGCGUGUGUGAAGAAGGCCUUCGGGUUGUAAAGCACUUUCAGCGGGGAGGCGUUACCCGCAGAAGAAGCACCGGCUAACUCCGUGCCAGCAGCCGCGGUAAUAC